rnacentral:rRNA from 1 species
GCGGCCUAUCAGCUUGUUGGUGAGGUAAAGGCUCACCAAGGCGACGACGGGUAGCCGGCCUGAGAGGGUGACCGGCCACACUGGAACUGAGACACGGUCCAGACUCCUACGGGAGGCAGCAGUGGGGAAUAUUGCACAAUGGGCGCAAGCCUGAUGCAGCAACGCCGCGUGAGGGAUGAAGGCCUUCGGGUUGUAAACCUCCUUUAGCAGGGAAGAAGCGAAAGUGACGGUACCUGCAGAAAAAGCACCGGCUAACUACGUGCCAGCAGCCGCGGUAAUACGUAGGGUGCAAGCGUUGUCCGGAAUUAUUGGGCGUAAAGAGCUCGUAGGCGGUUUGUCGCGUCUGCUGUGAAAACUGGAAGCUCAACUUCCAGCCUGCAGUGGGUACGGGCAGACUAGAGUGCGGUAGGGGAGAACGGAAUUCCUGGUGUAGCGGUGGAAUGCGCAGAUAUCAGGAGGAACACCGAUGGCGAAGGCAGUUCUCUGGGCCGUUACUGACGCUGAGGAGCGAAAGCGUGGGGAGCGAACAGGAUUAGAUACCCUGGUAGUCCACGCCGUAAACGGUGGGUGCUAGCUGUGGGCCACAUUCCACGUGGUCCGUGACGAAGUUAACACAUUAAGCACCCCGCCUGGGGAGUACGG